GUUGUAGUCUGGAGAAGUGCUUUCCGCGCUGGACCGUGUAUAAGUCUCUUGGAACAGAGCGUCGCAGAGGGUGAGAAUCCCGUCUUUGACACGGACUACCAGUGCUUUGUGAUGCGCUCUCAAAGAGUCGAGUUGUUUGGGAAUGCAGCUCAAAAUGGGUGGUAAAUUCCAUCUAAAGCUAAAUAUUGGCGAGAGACCGAUAGCGAACAAGUACCGUGAGGGAAAGAUGAAAAGCACUUUGGAAAGAGAGUUAAACAGUACGUGAAAUUGCUGAAAGGGAAACGCUUGAAGUCAGUCGUGUCUGCCGGAACUCAGCCUUGCUUUUUUCCGCUUGGUGCACUUUCCGGUUGGACGGGCCAGCAUCGAUUUUGACCGUCGGAGAAGGGCUGGAGAAAUGUGGCACCUUUUUUGGUGUGUUAUAGUCUUCAGUCGCAUGCGUCGGUUGGGAUCGAGGAACGCAGCGUGCGCCGCAAGGCGGAGGAGGAACCCCUUCACUAUUCGCGCUUAGGAUGCUGGCAUAAUGGCUUUAAACGACCCGUCUUGAAACACGGACCAAGGAGUCUAACAUACCUGCGAGUGUUUGGGUGGGAAAACCCGAGCGCGAAAUGAAAGUGAAAGUUGAGACCUCUGUCGUGGAGGGCAUCGACGCCCGGACCUGACGUUCUCUGACGGCUCCGCGGUAGAGCAUGUAUGUUGGGACCCGAAAGAUGGUGAACUAUGCCUGAAUAGGGUGAAGCCAGAGGAAACUCUGGUG
rnacentral:rRNA from 1 species